rnacentral:rRNA from 1 species
UACGUAGGGAGCAAGCGUUGUCCGGAAUCAUUGGGCGUAAAGCGCGCGUAGGUGGCCCCAUAAGUCCGCUGUGAAAGUCAAAGGCUCAACCUUUGAAAGCCGGUGGAUACUGUGGGACUAGAGUACGGAAGAGGCGAGUGGAAUUCCUGGUGUAGCGGUGAAAUGCGCAGAUAUCAGGAGGAACACCGGUGGCGAAGGCGGGUCUCUGGGCCGAUACUGACACUGAGGAGCGAAAGCGUGGGGAGCGAACAGG